rnacentral:lncRNA from 1 species
GUUUUACUGCUGCAUAUCCAACACAAUCCUCCAUUCCUUUUAAAUCUCAAGCUUCAGUAAUCCCAGAAUCAGAAAAAAAAGGAUUCAAUAGUCAAGCCAAGAGAUUUCCUCAUAAGAAGAAUGAUAUCCCAGGACCUGGGUUCUACAAUGUUAUUCACCAGUCACCGGUGUCCAACAGUGUCUCAUUGUCCAAGAAAGGAACUUGCAUGUUUCCCUCAAUGUGCGCCCGAUUGGACACCAUCAUUUCUAAAUACCCUGCAGCGAAUGCAUACACUAUCCCAUCGGAUUUUAUUUCCAAGAGAGACUUUAGUAAUUCGUGUUCCAGCAUGUUCCAGUUGCCAAGCUUUAUGAAAGCUCUCAAGUUUGAAACUCCUGCACCAAACUAUUACAAUGUAAGAACUCUGCCUAUGCUUGCUAAAUACAGAUCGAAUUAAUGGUUUACUAAAAUAAAAGGAAGAGGGGAUCUUGGGGACAUCGUAUUUUAAUGCAGUUGUCAAGCCAGUUAGCAUUUGUUGACUACCCAAUGGGUGCCUAAGGCUGUACAAGACUCUUACAGGGAAUUUGCAGACCCCAGAGAUCAGGAUGGGCAACAUGGAGGCCAGUAUCAAGCUGUGGGGAGGCCACUGCCCUGAGAAACACAUAUUCUAAUUACUCUUGUCCUGUAACCUUUCUGGGACGUAGUUUUCUCAUCUGUAACAAUGGGUGUAUUAUUUACCACUUUGUCUGCAGCCACUAAUGAUUUACUUUUUAGGUUCUUCUAGGGAAAAUAAAC